rnacentral:rRNA from 1 species
CUCGAGCGGACAGAUGGGAGCUUGCUCCCUGAUGUUAGCGGCGGACGGGUGAGUAACACGUGGGUAACCUGCCUGUAAGACUGGGAUAACUCCGGGAAACCGGGGCUAAUACCGGAUGCUUGUUUGAACCGCAGGUUCAAACAUAAAAGGUGGCUUCGGCUACCACUUACAGAUGGACCCGCGGCGCAUAGCUAGUUGGUGAGGUAAUGGCUCACCAAGGCAACGAUGCGUAGCCGACCUGAGAGGGUGAUCGGCCACACUGGGACUGAGACACGGCCCAGACUCCUACGGGAGGCAGCAGUAGGGAAUCUUCCGCAAUGGACGAAAGUCUGACGGAGCAACGCCGCGUGAGUGAUGAAGGUUUUCGGAUCGUAAAGCUCUGUUGUUAGGGAAGAACAAGUACCGUUCGAAUAGGGCGGUACCUUGACGGUACCUAACCAGAAAGCCACGGCUAACUACGUGCCAGCAGCCGCGGUAAUACGUAGGUGGCAAGCGUUGUCCGGAAUUAUUGGGCGUAAAGGGCUCGCAGGCGGUUUCUUAAGUCUGAUGUGAAAGCCCCCGGCUCAACCGGGGAGGGUCAUUGGAAACUGGGGAACUUGAGUGCAG